GAUGAACGCUGGCGGCGUGCCUAAUACAUGCAAGUCGAGCGAACAGACGAGGAGCUUGCUCCUCUGACGUUAGCGGCGGACGGGUGAGUAACACGUGGAUAACCUACCUAUAAGACUGGGAUAACUUCGGGAAACCGGAGCUAAUACCGGAUAAUAUAUUGAACCGCAUGGUUCAAUAGUGAAAGACGGUUUUGCUGUCACUUAUAGAUGGAUCCGCGCCGCAUUAGCUAGUUGGUAAGGUAACGGCUUACCAAGGCAACGAUGCGUAGCCGACCUGAGAGGGUGAUCGGCCACACUGGAACUGAGACACGGUCCAGACUCCUACGGGAGGCAGCAGUAGGGAAUCUUCCGCAAUGGGCGAAAGCCUGGCGGAGCAACGCCGCGUGAGUGAUGAAGGUCUUCGGAUCGUAAAACUCUGUUAUUAGGGAAGAGCAAAUGUGUAAGUAACUAUGCACGUCUUGACGGUACCUAAUCAGAAAGCCACGGCUAACUACGUG
rnacentral:rRNA from 1 species